rnacentral:misc_RNA from 1 species
CUGUAAAACCCUGAUAUGUCUGACUUUUUUUAACACUGUAUGUUAAAAAAGCGUUUUAUAAGUGUUAAAUUACACAUGUUAUUAUAAAUAUUCCUACACACAUACAUUUGGUCGGCAGUAUACAAUAUAUUGAGGUCUUUUGACCGUGAACUUACAAGGUUAUAUCAAAAUACUAGCUGAUAUCAUAUUUCUUUCCACAUUCGUUUCAUUAAAUUUGUUAAUAUUAUGCGCUGACUGGAAUAAUUCUUAUAAAAGUUGCAAUAAAUCGAUAAAAUAACUGAUGCCCCCAUGCUUAAAUACAAAUCUUGGGGGCCUCGACCCAAAUACAACGGGGGAUAUAUAUGUCGUGCGAAUUUUGAACGAAACUAAUACCAUGGAAACAAGUACGGUUGCAACAGACACGUACGAUCAAGUUGGUGCAAUGCAGUUUAUUAUUUGUACAGUUGCAGUGUAUUCAUUUCUUGGAGUAUUUUUCUUGCUUGUAAUACGUUUCCGUCAAGGUACAACAGCCCAUCAGAGUGCAAGGUCUGAAGCAGAUGCGAUCAACAAUUACCUAAAGAGCGAAAGGUCAUUGAAACUGGAAGCCAGUAAAAUGAAAAUGAUUACAGAAAUUCAAAAACAUGCUGAGAAUAUCAGAAAUUAUGAAGAAAAAUUAAAACUGUUAGAAAUUGAAAAGGGUAUAAAAGCGAAAGACUUUAAAUUGCACGGUGACACAAAAAGAAGAGACAGUCGAAGCUUCAAAAUCGGAAGAAAGAUGCACAAGUUUACCGGAAGAAGACAAUCAACUUCCGGAAGAAGACAUUCAACUUCCGGUAAAAGACGACUAAGUACGCCAGACGCUUUCGGAAAAAUGGGGUUCUCCUUCCUUUUCAUGGAAUCAAAGGAACCAAACGAAGAGACAAUAACUGAAGAGGGAGAAGGGUUCAUUGAAAGUACAAAAAUUGGCGAAGAGUGUGCAGUGUUAAAAACAGACAUGCUUCCAAAAUCAAAAACCUAUCACGCAUUUCCCGUAACAAACUCGGACACAACAGCAAAAGAACUGGGAACGGAAAAUGGGUUUGAAGAUAUACAAUAUAUUGAUAGUUAAUGCAGCAAUGCCCGAUAUUUAUUUCAUAUCAAAGUUUAUUCAUGACAGAAACUGGAUUGGUUGUAGCGCAUGUGAACGUUAUAUUGCGGCCGGUGGAUACGGCAAGGGAACUAGGGCAAAAAUGUAACUCUUGCAUGCAUCGUUACCGACAAGGCGUCGUCGGAAAGUGUACAAUGGAAAUAUAAACCAGCGGGUAGUGAUGCUUUCAAUGCAUUGACCUUUAACGAGAACGUUCUGUCAAGUCCCAGUAAAUACAGUAUCCAAUGGACGUACAAUCUCACAGUUUACAAUCUGCAACCGGAAGACGCGGGACUGUAUCGGUGCA